GACGAACGCUGGCGGCGUGCUUCACACAUGCAAGUCGAACGAGUGGCGAACGGGUGAGUAAUACGUGGGUAACCUGCUCUUUUUUUGGGAUAAGCCUUUGAAACGGGGUCUAAUACCGAAUAAAGGGGGAUGGGAUCGCGGCCUAUCAGCUUGUUGGUGGGGUGAUGGCCUACCAAGGCGGUGACGGGUAGCCGGCCUGAGAGGGUUACCGGCCACAUAGGGACUGAGCAAAGGUCCAGACUCCUACGGGAGGCAGCGGUGGGGAAUAUUGCACAAUGGGCGCAGGCCUGAUGCAUCCAUGCCGCGUGUGUGAAGAAGGCCUUCGGGUUGUAAAGCACUUCACAGAAGGAAGCGUUACUCGCAGUAGAAGCACAGGCUAACUCCGUGCCAGCAGCCGCGGUAAUAC
rnacentral:rRNA from 1 species